rnacentral:rRNA from 1 species
UACGAAGGGUGCAAGCGUUACUCGGAAUUACUGGGCGUAAAGCGUGCGUAGGUGGUUGUUUAAGUCUGUUGUGAAAGCCCUGGGCUCAACCUGGGAAUUGCAGUGGAUACUGGGCGACUAGAGUGUGGUAGAGGGUAGUGGAAUUCCCGGUGUAGCAGUGAAAUGCGUAGAGAUCGGGAGGAACAUCCAUGGCGAAGGCAGCUACCUGGACCAACACUGACACUGAGGCACGGAAAGCGUGGGGAGCAAACAGGG